rnacentral:rRNA from 1 species
CUGGUUGAUCCUGCCGGCGGCCACCGCUAUUGGAAUACGAUUAAGACAUGCGAGUCGAGAGACGUAAGGUCUCGGCGGACCGCUCAGUAACACGUGGAUAACAUGCCCUAAGGUGGGGGAUAAUCUCGGGAAACUGAGGGUAAUACCCCAUAGGUCUAUUUUGCUGGAAUGCUAAUAGGCCGAAAACUCCGGUGCCUUAGGAUUGGUCUGCGGUCUAUCAGGCUGUAGUGGGUGUAAUGGACCCACUAGCCCGUGACGGAUAUGGGCCUUGAGAGAGGGAGCCCAGAGAUGGACUCUGAGACAUGAGUCCAGGCCCUACGGGGCGCAGCAGUCGCGAAAACUUCGCAAUGGGGGCAACCCCGACGAGGGAAUUCCAAGUGCUAGCACUUUGUGUUAGCUGUUCUCCUGUCUAAAAAACAGGAGGAGUAAGGGGCGGGUAAGACUGGUGCCAGCCGCCGCGGUAAUACCCGCGCCCCAAGUGGUGGUCGAUAUUAUUGAGCCUAAAACGUCCGUAGCCGGUCUUCUAAAUCCUUGGGUAAAUCGGGCAGCUUAACUGUCCGAAGUCCGGGGAGACUGGGAGACUUGGGACCGGGAGAGGUCAGAGGUACUUCUGGGGUAGGGGUAAAAUCCUGUAAUCCUGGAAGGACCACCGGUGGCGAAGGCGUCUGACUAGAACGGAUCCGACGGUGAGGGACGAAGCCCUGGGGCGCAAACGGGAUUAGAUACCCCGGUAGUCCAGGGUGUAAACGCUGCGGGCUUGGUGUUGGGGGUCCUUAGUGGGCGCCCAGUGCCGGAGAGAAGUUGUUAAGCCUGCUGCUUGGGGGAGUAUGUCCGCAAGGGUGAAACUUAAAGGAAUUGGCGGGGGAGCACCGCAACGGGAGGAGCGUGCGGUUCAAUUGGAUUCAACGCCGGA